UACGUAGGGGGCAAGCGUUGUCCGGAAUCAUUGGGCAUAAAGCGCGUGUAGGCGGCUCGGUAAGUCUGCUGUGAAAGUCCAGGGCUCAACCCUGGAAAGCCGGUGGAAACUGUCGAGCUAGAGUCCGGAAGAGGCGAGUGGAAUUCCUGGUGUAGCGGUGAAAUGCGCAGAUAUCAGGAGGAACACCAAUGGCGAAGGCAGCCCCCUGGGCUAACACUGACGCUCAGGCACGAAAGCGUGGGGAGCAAACAGG
rnacentral:rRNA from 1 species